GACGAACGCUGGCGGCGUGCUUAACACAUGCAAGUCGAACGGAAAGGCCCCUUUGGGGGUACUCGAGUGGCGAACGGGUGAGUAACACGUGAGUAACCUGCCCUUGACUUCGGGAUAACUUCAGGAAACUGGGGCUAAUACCGGAUAGGAGUCCUUGCUGCAUGGUGGGGGUUGGAAAGCUUCGGCGGUUUUGGAUGGACUCGCGGCUUAUCAGCUUGUUGGUGGGGUAGUGGCUUACCAAGGCUUUGACGGGUAGCCGGCCUGAGAGGGCGACCGGCCACAUUGGGACUGAGAGACGGCCCAGACUCCUACGGGAGGCAGCAGUGGGGAAUAUUGCACAAUGGGCGGAAGCCUGAUGCAGCAACGCCGCGGGCGGGAUGACGGCCUUCGGGUUGGAAACCGCUUUCAGCAGGGGCGAAGCUUGUGGUGACGGUACCUGCAGAAGAAGCACCGGCUAACUACGUG
rnacentral:rRNA from 1 species